rnacentral:snRNA from 1 species
UUUUCUACUAGUGCGAUGAUCAAUAAGGCUCGUGGCCUAGAUCAAUUAUUUAUAUUGCACAUGGUGAUCUCGUUGAUCUACCCUCUCUCAUUGAUGGGAGAGUGGACGUUAUAAUUUGUGAUAGAGGGGGCACGCGUCCGCGCGGCCCAUG